UGUGUUGCGCCAGUGUGAUCGGGAGUCAUUGAUGUUGACUAAUACGGGGUUACUUUUUCCCUCAACACUA
rnacentral:tRNA from 1 species